rnacentral:rRNA from 1 species
UGCAGUCGAACGCGAAAGUUCCCUUCGGGGAGCGAGUAGAGUGGCGCACGGNCUGNNAUAACACGUAGGUAAUUUGCCUUUGGGUGGGGAAUACCAACCGGAAACGGUUGUUAAUACCGCAUAAUGCAGCGGCAUCACAUGAUGACAGUUGUUAAAGCGGGGGAUUGGAGCAAUCCGACCUCGCGCCUGAAGAGAAGCCUGCGGCAGAUUAGGUAGUUGGUGAGGUAAUGGCUCACCAAGCCUGCGAUCUGUAACCGGCCUGAGAGGGCGGUCGGUCACACUGACACUGACAUACGGGUCAGACUCCUACGGGAGGCAGCAGUCGGGAAUUUUGGGCAAUGGGCGAAAGCCUGACCCAGCAACGCCGCGUGAAGGAUGAAAUUUUUCGGAAUGUAAACUUCGCAAGAAUGGGAAGAAUAAGUGGGGGACAAUACCCCCCAUGAUGACGGUACCAUUUGUAAGCUCCGGCUAACUUCGUGCCAGCAGCCGCGGUAAUACGAGGGGAGCAAGCGUUGUUCGGAUUUACUGGGCGUAAAGGGCGCGUAGGCGGUCGUGACAAGUCACUUGUGAAAUCUCAGGGCUUAACUCUGAACGGUCAAGUGAUACUGUCGGACUAGAGUACAGAAGGGGCAACUGGAAUUCUCGGUGUAGCGGUGAAAUGCGUAGAUAUCGAGAGGAACACCUGCGGCGAAGGCNGGGUUGCUGGGCUGAUACUGACGCUGAGGCGCGAAAGCCAGGGGAGCGAACGGGAUUAGAUACCCCNGGUAGUCCUGGCCUUNAAACGAUGAAUGCUUGGUGUCUCCGGGUUAUAAAGUCCCNGGGGUGCCGUCCCUAACGCCUUUUACCAUUCCGCCUGGGAAGUACGGUCCCAA